rnacentral:rRNA from 1 species
AUUGAACGCUGGCGGCAGGCCUAACACAUGCAAGUCGAACGAGUGGCGGACGGGUGAGUAAUGUCUGGGAAACUGCCCGAUGGAGGGGGAUAACUACUGGAAACGGUAGAUAAUACCGCAUACCAUGGGAUGUGCCGAGGUGGGAUUAGCUAGUGGGUGGGGUAACGGCUCACCUAGGCGACGAGCCCUAGCUGGCCUGAGAGGGUGACCAGCCACACUGGAACUGAGACACGGCCCAGACUCCUACGGGAGGCAGCAGUGGGGAAUAUUGCACAAUGGGCGCAAGCCUGAUGCAGCCAUGCCGCGUGUAUGAAGAAGGCCUUCGGGUUGUAAAGUACUUUCAGCGGGGAGGCGUUACCCGCAGAAGAAGCAACGGCUAACUCCGUGCCAGCAGCCGCGGUAAUUC